rnacentral:rRNA from 1 species
GAUGAACGCUAGCGGCAGGCUUAACACAUGCAAGUCGAGGGGCAGCACGGGUAGCAAUACCUGGUGGCGACCGGCGCAAGGGUGCGUAACGCGUGAGCAACAUGCCCUAUACAGGGGGAUAAUCCAGGGAAACUUGGUCUAAUAUCCCAUAGUAUUUAGAGGAGGCAUCUUCUAUAAAUUAAAGCUUCGGUGGUAUAGGAUUGGCUCGCGUGACAUUAGCUAGAUGGUGAGGUAACGGCUCACCAUGGCAAUGAUGUUCUAGGGGUUCUGAGAGGAAGGCCCCCCACACUGGGACUGAGACACGGCCCAGACUCCUACGGGAGGCAGCAGUGAGGAAUAUUGGACAAUGGAUGGAAAUCUGAUCCAGCCAUGCCGCGUGCAGGAAGACAGCCCUAUGGGUUGUAAACUGCUUUUAUAUGGGAGCAAUAAGGUCUACGUGUAGACUGAUGAGAGUACCAUAUGAAUAAGC